GAUGAACGCUGGCGGCGUGCCUAAUACAUGCAAGUCGAGCGAAUGGAUUAGGAGCUUGCUCUUAUGAAGUUAGCGGCGGACGGGUGAGUAACACGUGGGUAACCUGCCCAUAAGACUGGGAUAACUCCGGGAAACCGGGGCUAAUACCGGAUAACAUUUUGAACCGCAUGGUUCGAAAUUGAAAGGCGGCUUCGGCUGUCACUUAUGGAUGGACCCGCGUCGCAUUAGCUAGUUGGUGAGGUAACGGCUCACCAAGGCAACGAUGCGUAGCCGACCGGAGAGGGGGAUCGGCCACACUGGGACUGAGACACGGCCCAGACUCCUACGGGAGGCAGCAGUAGGGAAUCUUCCGCAAUGGACGAAAGUCUGACGGAGCAACGCCGCGUGAGUGAUGAAGGCUUUCGGGUCGUAAAACUCUGUUGUUAGGGAAGAACAAGUGCUAGUUGAAUAAGCUGGCACCCUGACGGUACCUAACCAGAAAGCCACGGCUAACUACGUGCCAGCCGCCGCAGUAA
rnacentral:rRNA from 1 species